rnacentral:rRNA from 1 species
UACGUAGGGCGCAAGCGUUAUCCGGAAUUAUUGGGCGUAAAGAGCUCGUAGGCGGUUUGUCGCGUCUGCCGUGAAAGUCCGGGGCUCAACUCCGGAUCUGCGGUGGGUACGGGCAGACUAGAGUGAUGUAGGGGAGACUGGAAUUCCUGGUGUAGCGGUGAAAUGCGCAGAUAUCAGGAGGAACACCGAUGGCGAAGGCAGGUCUCUGGGCCUGACCUGACGCUGAGGAGCGAAAGCGUGGGGAGCGAACAGG